AGCGAACGCUGGCGGCAGGCUUAACACAUGCAAGUCGAGCGGGCGUAGCAAUACGUCAGCGGCAGACGGGUGAGUAACGCGUGGGAACGUACCUUUUGGUUCGGAACAACACAGGGAAACUUGUGCUAAUACCGGAUAAGCCCUUACGGGGAAAGAUUUAUCGCCGAAAGAUCGGCCCGCGUCUGAUUAGCUAGUUGGUGAGGUAACGGCUCACCAAGGCGACGAUCAGUAGCUGGUCUGAGAGGAUGAUCAGCCACAUUGGGACUGAGACACGGCCCAGACUCCUACGGGAGGCAGCAGUGGGGAAUAUUGGACAAUGGGGGAAACCCUGAUCCAGCGACGCCGCGUGUGUGAAGAAGGCCUGCGGGUUGUAAAGCAC
rnacentral:rRNA from 1 species